rnacentral:lncRNA from 1 species
AAAAGAAAAGAAAAGAAAUAAAACUCAAAGAUAGCAAUGGAAAAAAAGGGGGUUAAACAACAGGUAGAAGAAUUAUUUGUGGCUGCUGCUAUUGAAGCAUGAGGUGUGGCGUUUCCAGAAGAAACAAACAGAUCUCCUCAUCGCCUUUUAUAAGCAUAGAAUUACAAAGUUAGAAGCAGCCAUGCAGGAGGCACAACAGAUGGUGACCAGCCAGGAAAAAGAGCUGUCAGUCUUAAAGAAGGAAAAUGGAGAACUGAAGAAAUGUCUUGCCAUUCUAAAGGUGAAUGAAACAGGUUUUCCUUACUAGUAUUCUUUCUUCUACUUUUCCCAUCUGUCU